GGAAAGUUUGGUUUGAUUAUGUUUCUCUUCUGCCGUUGUGAAAUGAUACAGGUAAAUGCAGAGUUGAACUUUGAUAUGCAAUCUGAGAAAAUACAAGUCUGACUUAAUGACAACGCGGCCUAUUUUCAGAAGCCAGAUGUGUGAUGGAACAGCAGACGGCUGGGGGAGGACUGAUUGAGGUGCAAGUUUGCAAGAGACACACACACACGUGAACGCACAGAGCCUGGAGGACAGCAUAAGUACCGUGGUCAAUUUGCUGCCCGAGUCAUGAGCCGGAAUGGAAACUCUAAUGAAAUCUAUUCAUCACGCAACGGCACUGGAAGCUGGAGAUGGGAAAGGAAAGAGAAAGAUGGAAAUAAAAAGAGAGAAGAAAAGCCAUUGUGCAGAAAUGUUUUCCUGGCUGCUUAAACAGGAAAAAAAGUGAUCUGGGAAAUGCUGAGGCGGUGUGGAAGCUCUGACCUGACCCACAUCUAUUUUACAAAUAAAUAGAUAUGUGUCCACAGUGCCUCUUAUUUAAAUAAUGAUUAACCAAAGAACGAAUGUUGCAGUGAACCAGACAACCGGUUACAAGUACCACUUUAAUAGAUAUGAGUAAAAUAUACAAAAUGCUUUGCGAUGCAAUCUGAAACUGAGCCAUUGUUUUUCGACUCAAAUGCCAUUAACACAUAAGGUAAAGGAAGACACAGUUAGAGUAUCCAAAAUGGCUUCCUCAGCAAAUGACUCCCUGUAAUAGUCCAACGCUAUACUACACCUCCAUAAACACAAUGACUCUUCUGC